rnacentral:rRNA from 1 species
GGCGGACGGGUGAGUAACACUUAGGAAUCUACCUAGUAGUGGGGGAUAGCUCGGGGAAACUCGAAUUAAUACCGCAUACGACCUACGGGAGAAAGGGGGCAGUUUACUGCUCUCGCUAUUAGAUGAGCCUAAGUCGGAUUAGCUAGAUGGUGGGGUAAAGGCCUACCAUGGCGACGAUCUGUAGCUGGUCUGAGAGGAUGAUCAGCCACACCGGGACUGAGACACGGCCCGGACUCCUACGGGAGGCAGCAGUGGGGAAUAUUGGACAAUGGGGGAAACCCUGAUCCAGCCAUGCCGCGUGUGUGAAGAAGGCCUUUUGGUUGUAAAGCACUUUAAGCAGUGAAGAAGACCUAACGGUUAAUACCCGUUAGCGAUGACAUUAGCUGCAGAAUAAGCACCGGCUAACUCUGUGCCAGCAGCCGCGGUAAUACAGAGGGUGCAAGCGUUAAUCGGAAUUACUGGGCGUAAAGCGAGCGUAGGUGGCUUGAUAAGUCAGAUGUGAAAUCCCCGGGCUUAACCUGGGAACUGCAUCUGAUACUGUUAAGCUAGAGUAGGUGAGAGGGAAGUAGAAUUCCAGGUGUAGCGGUGAAAUGCGUAGAGAUCUGGAGGAAUACCGAUGGCGAAGGCAGCUUCCUGGCAUCAUACUGACACUGAGGUUCGAAAGCGUGGGUAGCAAACAGGAUUAGAUACCCUGGUAGUCCACGCCGUAAACGAUGUCUACUAGUCGUUGGGUCCCUUGAGGACUUAGUGACGCAGCUAACGCAAUAAGUAGACCGCCUGGGGAGUACGGCCGCAAGGUUAAAACUCAAAUGAAUUGACGGGGCCCGCACAAGCGGUGGAGCAUGUGGUUUAAUUCGAUGCAACGCGAGAACCUUACCUGGUCUUGACAUACACAGAAUCUUGUAGAGAUACGAGAGUGCCUUCGGAAUUGUGAUACAGGUGCUGCAU